AAGACAUUGUGUCUUCGAGUCGUUGAUUUCACACUGCCGAGAAAAGCCUCUAGAUAGAAAAUAGGUGCCCGUACCGCAAACCGACACAGGUAGUCAAGAUGAGAAUUCUAAGGUGAGCGAGCGAACUCUCGUUAAGGAACUCGGCAAAAUGACCCCGUAACUUCGGGAGAAGGGGUGCUCUUUAGGGUUAACGCCCAGAAGAGCCGCAGUGAAUAGGCCCAAGCGACUGUUUAUCAAAAACACAGGUCUCUGCUAAACCGUAAGGUGAUGUAUAGGGGCUGACGCCUGCCCGGUGCUGGAAGGUUAAGAGGAGUGGUUAGCUUCUGCGAAGCUACGAAUCGAAGCCCCAGUAAACGGCGGCCGUAACUAUAACGGUCCUAAGGUAGCGAAAUUCCUUGUCGGGUAAGUUCCGACCCGCACGAAAGGCGUAACGAUUUGGGCACUGUCUCAACGAGAGACUCGGUGAAAUCAUAGUACCUGUGAAGAUGCAGGUUACCCGCGACAGGACGGAAAGACCCCGUGGAGCUUUACUGUAGCCUGAUAUUGAAAUUCGGCACAGCUUGUACAGGAUAGGUAGGAGCCUUUGAAACGUGAGCGCUAGCUUACGUGGAGGCGCUGGUGGGAUACUACCCUAGCUGUGUUGGCUUUCUA
rnacentral:rRNA from 1 species